rnacentral:tRNA from 1 species
UCGUGGUUAGCUCAGCUGGCUAGAGCGGUCCGAUUUAUCGGACAGGUCGGGGGUUCGAGCCCCUCACCGUCCACCC